rnacentral:misc_RNA from 1 species
GUUUAUAGAUGGUUGUAUCCUUAUCAAACUUCAGUAUAUAAGCUUGAUUGCAGCCUUCGUAGAGUCUUUCGCCUAAGGUAUCGAUGAUGUAGUAAGCUUCAGCUUCAACCUUCAGGACAAAGAAAUGAUCGUUCCAGCUGACGAUAUAGAUUUGUGGUUCACCCAUAGAAGUAUACUGUAAUCCAGCACGGCUAAUUUCAUCCCAGAUAUUGUCAAAUGACAUGGCACCAUGCAAGAAAU